rnacentral:rRNA from 1 species
CAGCAGCCGCGGGAAUACGAAGGGGGCUAGCGUUGUUCGGAAUUACUGGGCGUAAAGCGCACGUAGGCGGAUAUUUAAGUCAGGGGUGAAAUCCCAGAGCUCAACUCUGGAACUGCCUUUGAUACUGGGUAUCUUGAGUAUGGAAGAGGUGAGUGGAAUUCCGAGUGUAGAGGUGAAAUUCGUAGAUAUUCGGAGGAACACUAGUGGCGAAGGCGGCUCACUGGUCCAUUACUGACGCUGAGGUGCGAAAGCGUGGGGAGCAAACAGGAUUAGAUACCCCUGUAGUCCCUGUCUCUUAUAC